rnacentral:tRNA from 1 species
GCGGUUGGUAGAGCGGUUGGUAGAGCGCUCCACUGGAAAUGGAGAGGUCCCGGGUUCGAUACCCGGACCAGGCG